UGGGGAAUUUUGGACAAUGGGCGAAAGCCUGAUCCAGCAAUGCCGCGUGUGUGAAGAAGGCCUUCGGGUUGUAAAGCACUUUUGUCCGGAAAGAAAUGGCUCUGGUUAAUACCUGGGGUCGAUGAAGGUACCGGAAGAAUAAGGACCGGCUAACUACGUGCCAGCAGCCGCGGUAAUACGUAGGGUCCAAGCGUUAAUCGGAAUUACUGGGCGUAAAGCGUGCGCAGGCGGUUGUGCAAGACCGAUGUGAAAUCCCCGAGCUUAACUUGGGAAUUGCAUUGGUGACUGCACGGCUAGAGUGUGUCAGAGGGGGGUAGAAUUCCACGUGUAGCAGUGAAAUGCGUAGAGAUGUGGAGGAAUACCGAUGGCGAAGGCAGCCCCCUGGGAUAACACUGACGCUCAUGCACGAAAGCGUGGGGAGCAAACAGGAUUAGAUACCCUGGUAGUCCACGCCCUAAACGAUGUCAACUAGUUGUUGGGGGAUUCAUUUUCCUUAGUAACGUAGCUAACGCGUGAAGUUGACCGCCUGGGGAGUACGGUCGCAAGAUUAAAAGCUUAAAUGAAUUGACGGGGUCAUAGCUGUUUCCUG
rnacentral:rRNA from 1 species